rnacentral:lncRNA from 1 species
UUUUCAUUUCCCACAUUCUUUUCUCAUCCCUGCUGAAAUCCAAAUGCUUCAUUUCCCUUCUUUGCAAAUCCCUAACCCUAUUUCGUCUCUCACAGCAUCCCUACUAUGGCUUGGGCUUUCCAGAUCUCACAUGUUCAUUGAGAGGGCUUCUGCCUUCCGGUUUCAUUGCCACUCGCCGCUAGUUGCCUCCCUCCUACCUCUUUAUCCCAUUUCUAUAUUCGUCUAUUGCUUUCACGGUGUCAGUCCGAAUGUAUGUGGAAUUUUACCGCUCGCAGAUUAAGAAAAGUUCAACAUAAAAGUAAGUUAUCCAGUGUAUGCUUACUACUAACUGAGAGAAAAAGAAAUCAUGUGCUAAGAAACGUUUGAGUUGAAUUUAUGUGGAAGUUUUUCAGAGAUAAUCGGUGUCUGCAAAGAAAUUGGUAUCAUUUGGUGCAUCAGUUGUUCUAUUUGUGAUGAGCGAUGGGGCUUACGUGUUUAGUUGAUUUUGGAGGUCUAGUUGCUGGAACUAUUGCCCCCCAUUUAUGUUGACUUUCCUCUGAUGUAUUCGAUAUUUAUUUUUUUAAAAAUUUCCGUAAAUUCUCAACCUUCUUUCCCUCACAAUUGUCCCUUUUGCAUUUUUCUUUUUGGUUUCUUUUAUUCACAUAUUUAUAAUUUUGUUCCAAGAUGUAAUAAUUUCCAUCAUAAAUUAAUUUACGCGUACUUCUAUUUCAGAUAGGAAGUUCUUAACAUCUAAGCUGAUUGUUCCUUUAUAAUGAAAACUCUAAGCUGAUUGUUCCUUUAACAUCUAAGCUGAUUGUUCCAACAGCAUUCUGACAUCAGCAUAUGAAAGUAUUGAAUCUGAUAUUUUAUUGUGUUUUCUGUUUUAGCAGUUACAGUCAAUCCUUAUUUCACAUAUCGACCUGAAUACUAAUUUCCACUAGCCUUAGUAGAUUUUUGUUUAGUAUUGUUAUGUGGUUAGGCCUUCAAAUAUUUUGUCCAUCUCGUAUUUGUUCCAUCUUUCCCAUAUGACGACAUUGAUAUAUUGCUGAGGAUAUUCUCCAGUUGAGUUCCAGAUUUGAUUAAUUUCCAGAGUCACCAUUUACAGAGGACACUCACACCACUCUUUCAAGUUUUUAUGAAUUGCUUCCAUGCCCAGGUAUUUAGUUUUAUCCUUUCCUGAUCUUUUAUGCUAUUCAUUCUCAUAUGAUAAACUUUUGCUAACCUUGAAUACAUUCUUGAAUCAUGCGUAUCUAUUGAAAGGACAUCAAAAUGUUGCUGCAAUGAAUUAUGCAUAACUGGGUCAUAGAUAUGAAAACUCUGAUGGAUGUAGUGUUAUAUGUGGGGUUCAAACAGAACUUGAUUUGGCUAAAACUAUGAUGCUUUGCACAGGGUAACGGACUGUUGCCCUUUAUUUCUUUAAUACUUACCUUGCAAUUCUCAGUGUUGUAACGUUAAUACUAUCAACCACAAGGCUUGAAUCAUGCUAAUUAUCUACUUGGAAUGUAUAAUAGCAUCAAAAUGAUAGUUACUUCCAUGUUUGUAUUCAUCUGCUUUUUUGAAAUUUUUGCUAUGGCAUUGUCGUUUUCACUCGUCCUUUUUCCAUAUGACACUAGGUUGCAGUUUUUUUUUUCUCAUCCAUUAUAUUCUUAAAUUGAUUUUGGUUCUGUUUUGCAUUGUAUUGAAGACAAUGCAUUAGAUUUGUGUACUUCAACAUGACAUAAAUUUUUUAUUUUUUAUUUUUUGAAAUUUUAAUCAGUAUUAAAUUUGAAGACAAUGCAUUAGAUUUGUGCAUUAGAUUUGUGUACUUCAUCCAUUAUAUUAAUCAGUAUUUUUUUUUUUUAAAUUUUAAUUCAAAUUUUACGUGCUUGUAAAUCAGGUGUUAGUACUUAGCAUUGCAUUUAUAAUUUACAAUUCAGUCGCACUUACACUGUUGUUAUCAAUUGUCAUCUUUUUAUGUGUAAAAUAAAUUAUGGCCCUGUUUGGUAGGGAUUUUGAGAAUUGAUUUUUUGACCGUUAAAAGAAAAGUGGGGUCCACAUGUGAGAGAAGAAGUCAAAAAUUACGGCUUGAAUAGUAAAAUAACGGUCCAAAAAUCAAUUUUUUGGGGCAAAAAAUCCCUACCAAACGGGGCCUAAAAAGUUCUCUCUUACAAGAAGGUUACACGUAAUAUGUUAUUCCUUUUUCUCCCUCUGUGCAAUACAUUAUGGAGCGCGAGAACUUGUCGUGCAAUCUGACAUUGUUUCAGAUUAUGCAAUGUACUUGUUUGUGCAUACCGCAAUAGUACAUUUACUUUCUUUUAUCAUCUCUUGUUUCUAUAUUGGUUUUAUGUUGUGGUUUUCAGUUCAUAGAAAAUGGCUUAUGGUGAUGAUAUUCAGCCCCUUGUUUGUGACAAUGGAACUGGAAUGGUGAAGGUUCGUAAACAUUUUUAAAUUCUCUAGCCUUCUGUAUUCAAUUUAU